CUAACUGUUGUUUUACUGCACAGUGAGACCAGAGUUUCCUCUCGAGGAUCCGCUUGCUGCGAGCCGCAGCGCAGGGCUUCAGGCGCACCAAGUAACAAACCCAGCUGCACGAUUCAACACGGAAGGAGUUCACCUGGGGCCCCUGAAGGCAGAGAAGACCUCAUUAGAAAUCCUACUACAAUGCCCUCAAGGAAUGCGAACUAUGAACUGGAUGUAGUUGACGCAGGAGGAGCUUUGCGCUACGACAAGGGGGAGGAAAAAAAUUACAUAACCAAAGCUGCAAUGUAGCCUGUAAUGCUCUUCAAAAACUAGAUUCUCAGCUAUUUCUUAGGUUUAUUUUCCAAAAAUAAUUGCAUAACAUUUUCUCCAGGAGAAAAUAUUACAAACGUGGCCUACUCAAAUCAAUUAACUUUAUCUCAUUUUGUUACUCUACAACCAGAAACCUCAUUAUACUUUCCUGAACUCAUUUUUUGUUGUUGUUGUUGAUUUUGAUCAACACUUAUCUGAUGCUGAAAUAUGAAAUUUCACUUCAUAUGAAGCAUAAUUGAGGUUUCAGACCAAGGUAGCACUGUAAUUUAAGGGUUUCAAAGUAAGGGGGGAUGAAUAAAAGAACAUUAAUUCUCAGUCACUUGUGCAGCUCUAAUGUCUGAACUACUCUCUUGUGCAGCAGCAGUUUCUCACUGAUCUCUGGUGUUUUUGUGCGCGGUUCUUCCAUCACAGCUCCUGGUAAAAAUACCCAUAAUCCAGUUGACCCUCCCUGGACAUGACCUCUGCACUGAAUCCCAUUGGAAUUGAGUAACUCAACCAUCUGAUAUUUCACAUCAUCUGUUUCUAUUUAUAUGUGUUGAACAAUGUUUCCAUCAGACGUAUGGUUCUCUCUCCGGGGAAGUGGCAGCCUGUGCAACUACUGUGUUCGUUACACUUAUUGCUUUGAUGGAAAUUUAAACUGUGACAGGAAAUAACCUCCAAACAAAUAUUUUCCUCUUUAAUUUGCAUCCCACUUGCGAACUUUCAAUCAGUUUUUUUCUCUUUUAAUUAAAAAAGCAAUUUAUUUCAAUUGUUCCCCCUACAUCAGUGUUCCUUCAAACAGUUUCUGUUUGCACAAAUAACUGGCAGGACAUGUUGCAUUCUGACAGAAAGCACUAACUACAGUAACAGCAUCUUUACCAGGCUUAUCAGGAUGAAACUGAGGUUUUUAUAGCUGCUCUUUUUGCCCUCCUUUCUGAUUUCAUCAUUUGAGUUUAAAUUCUAAAAGGUUGAGAAAAGAGUUUCCGAUUAUCUGCAUUUCUAUAUUUCUUCACUGCCGAGUGUCUGAAUAUGGAU